AAUUGGCUUAAGUCGUUUGCAAUCAGUUAAUCUCAAUUAAAUUGGCGUUUUGUUUUAAAAUAAUUUAUUUCAACUAAAUUGGCUUCAAAUUAACUCAAAUUAACUCAAAUUAACUCAAAUUAACUCAAAUUAACUCAAAUUAACUCAAAUUAACUCAAAUUAACUCAAUUUAAUUGGCUUUAUUUUGAAAUUCCAAUGUAUUUUAGCCAAAUUGGCCUUUAUUUAUCCUUGCUUACGCGCCUGGGCUAGC
rnacentral:lncRNA from 1 species